UACGUAGGGGGCGAGCGUUAUCCGGAUUUAUUGGGCGUAAAGGGCUCGUAGGCGGUUUGUCGCGUCGGGAGUGAAAUCCACUGGCUUAACUGGUGGCUUGCUUUCGAUACGGGCAGACUGGAGGUAUGCAGGGGGAGAACGGAAUUCCUGGUGUAGCGGUGAAAUGCGCAGAUAUCAGGAGGAACACCGGUGGCGAAGGCGGUUCUCUGGGCAUGUCCUGACGCUGAGGAGCGAAAGUGUGGGGAGCGAACAGG
rnacentral:rRNA from 1 species